GCAGGAAGUAGUUUAAGAAGAAUG
rnacentral:tRNA from 1 species